UACAGAGGUCUCAAGCGUUGUUCGGAUUCAUUGGGCGUAAAGGGUGCGUAGGUGGCGCGCUAAGUCAGGUGUGAAAUUUCGGAGCUUAACUCCGAAACUGCAUUUGAUACUGGCGUGCUUGAGGACUGGAGAGGAGACUGGAAUUCAUGGUGUAGCAGUGAAAUGCGUAGAGAUCAUGAGGAAGACCAGUGGCGAAGGCGGGUCUCUGGACAGUUCCUGACACUGAGGCACGAAGGCUAGGGGAGCAAACGGG
rnacentral:rRNA from 1 species